rnacentral:rRNA from 1 species
UACGAAGGGGGCUAGCGUUGUUCGGAUUUACUGGGCGUAAAGCGUACGUAGGCGGAUCGUUAAGUCGGGGGUGAAAUCCUGGAGCUCAACUCCAGAACUGCCUUCGAUACUGGCGAUCUUGAGUCCGGAAGAGGUGAGUGGAACUCCUAGUGUAGAGGUGGAAUUCGUAGAUAUUAGGAAGAACACCAGUGGCGAAGGCGGCUCACUGGUCCGGUCCUGACGCUGAGGUGCGAAAGCCUGGGGAGCGAACAGG